AUUUUGAAUAGAUUUGGGCCAUUUGGAGUCGGGUAUUCGUGGCAAGAACCUGAUAUCGAGUUGAUUGAGCUGGUUCGAGGUUUCAUCACGACAGUUAAAGGAGGGCGAACUCGGGUCGUCACACGAGUCUGCCUGAAGAACAAGGUUUGAAAGCUCAAGUCUACUCCAAGUUCAAGUUUAUUUCAAGUCCAAGCAGCAGGAGCCCGCUUGAAAAUCUGGGUCAAGGUUCAUUAUCCUUCAAGUUCAAGUAGCAGGAGCACGCCUAAAGAACAUGGUCAACUUUAUCUUAAAUUCAAGCAUCAGGAUCCCACCUAAAAAAUAAGGAACCGCGGACCGGAACCUCGACGGCACUUCACUCGACUCUCUCCAGCUCGAUAUCCUUCUCAUUUUUCUUACUUCUGAACUACACGUGACCUGAUUUCUUUAUAGCCAAGGAUAUGUAGGCAGCUCAUAUACCAGGGUCAGGUCACACUCUUUUACCUACCUUUACUUUCUUUGAAUAAGUAUCGAGUCAGAGGUUAAUUACAUUGCUUACUUAAUUCUUUGCUUGGAAACUCUUCGAGUUUCCAAGCAAAGAAGGGCAGCUGUAAGCCCGUAAUUUUUGACCCACGAUUUCUAAAAUUAGUAAAUUAAUAUAUUUAUUUAUUUU